rnacentral:lncRNA from 1 species
AAAUGAUAGAAUUGUAAGAUAAAUUAGGAAAAGAUAGCUUUCAGACAAUGCUUUGAGAAUAUUAAAAGAAAAGAUAGGGUCACCGUACAUUUUUUCCGGCUUAAAUACAAAAUAAGAAAAUUUUAUGUACAAUCCUUCAGAAAAUGCACUGUUUUAGAGUAACCUCCCCUUAAAAUGCAGAUUUAAAUACAUUUAAAAACAACCAUAAAUAAUCAACACUGGUAAAAAUAUUAAUAUUUAUAAGUUAUGUUCUUAUAAAUUGGAUCAUUCAAAUGGAACUUAUAUUAAAUAUCUGCAUUUCUGCAUCAAAUUUUGCUAACUUCAUAGAAAAUAUGGACCUUAGAAUCUCUGUUUUUAACAAUCCAAGAUGGCGGAAAGCACACAUACCAUCUUAA